rnacentral:rRNA from 1 species
GACGAACGCUGGCGGCGUGCUUAACACAUGCAAGUCGAACGGAAAGGCCCUGCUUUUGUGGGGUGCUCGAGUGGCGAACGGGUGAGUAACACGUGAGUAACCUGCCCUUGACUUUGGGAUAACUUCAGGAAACUGGGGCUAAUACCGGAUAGGAUCUCCUGCUGCAUGGUGGUGGUUGGAAAGUUUCGGCGGUUGGGGAUGGACUCGCGGCUUAUCAGCUUGUUGGUGGGGUAGUGGCUUACCAAGGCUUUGACGGGUAGCCGGCCUGAGAGGGUGACCGGCCACAUUGGGACUGAGAUACGGCCCAGACUGCUACGGGAGGCAGCAGUGGGGAAUAUUGCACAAUGGGCGGAAGCCUGAUGCAGCAACGCCGCGUGCGGGAUGACGGCCUUCGGGUUGUAAACCGCUUUCGCCUGUGACGAAGCGUGAGUGACGGUAAUGGGUAAAGAAGCACCGGCUAACUACGUG